ACGGGAGGCAGCAGCUAAGAAUAUUCCGCAAUGGACGAAAGUCUGACGGAGCGACGCCGCGUGGAUGAUGAAGGUCGGAAGAUUGUAAAAUCCUUUUAUAACUGAGGAAUAAGCAGGGUGAGAGAAACGCCUUGUGGUGACUGUAGGUUAUGAAUAAGCAACGGCUAAUUACGUGCCAGCAGCCGCGGUAACACGUAAGUUGCGAGCGUUGUUCGGAAUUAUUGGGCGUAAAGGGCAUGUAGGCGGUUUUGCAAGCUUGAUGUGAAAGGCAGGAGCUUAACUCCUGACUGCGUUGAGAACUGCAUGACCAGAGUCACUGAGGGGCAAUCAGAAUUCCUGGUGUAGGGGUGAAAUCUGUAGAUAUCUGGAAGAAUACCAAUGGCGAAGGCAGGUUUCAGGCAGAUAACUGACGCUGAGGUGCGAAGGUGCGGGGAGCAAACAGGAUUAGAUACCCUGGUA
rnacentral:rRNA from 1 species